UAAAUAUUUGUAAAAUAUUGAAGUAAUAAUAAUCUGAAGGUGACGAAAAUGUGGAUUAUUAAAAAAGUAAAAUAGAAUGUGAGACAAGAAGAAUUUACAUGAUUUAUAUUGUCGGAAAAUAUACAACUAAACUUUUAAUAUCAAUAUAGUCUGUUCUAGAUGAAAUAUUUGAGAAAUAUGGAAGUAAUAUGAUAUCUGAAGGAGACGAAACUGUGGACUAUUAACAAAGCAAAAUAUAAUAUGAGGCAAGAGAAAAUUUACGUGAUUUAUGUUGUCUGAAAAUAUACAUCUGAACGUUUAAUAUCAAAACAAAUAAGGAAGCUGUUGGAGAUAUGCAGAGAAGCAGCCGUGGAUAUAGUUACAAUGAGAAAAACGAAGACAAAAACGCAUUACCUUUAGCAUAUCUUAGGUUGUUGAUUGAGAUCGUCAAAGGCUUACAAAAAAACCCCUGCUACGCUUACCGUACAUUUAAACUUCUGCCAGAGAUCUGCAGUCUAUGUAUCAAGAACAGAAAUCAUCAAAAAUACAAUAGCCAAACAGGCAUCGGAUGUUGAAGAUCCACCAUAAGAAUCAUCUGAAAUCCCUAAAAGUAUAUUAUUAUAACUUCUAGUUGGUUCCGUCAUACACUUCCUACAAAAUAAAUUUAAAAUCAAAAGAUAUAGUAUUAACAAUAUUUUGUAUUUGUUUAUAAUUUAAUGCUUUUGUGUAUAAUUUGUUUUUGGCAUUAGUGUAUACUUGAAAAUGUAGCAGAAUUACUCCAAUUAUCUAACGUCUAUAGUAACGUUUUACAAAUCUUAACAACACAUUAAACUUCUUUCCUCGACGAUUUUGGUCCGUGUAAACAUCAUUAACUCCAGCAGUCAGAUAUGUUCAUAUAAUAAAACCAGAGAAAUGAAAGCCUGGUUGCCCUGGUUGCAUAUAUUUAGGAUAUUUAAUAAACAAAUAUAUUGAUAUAUACAAAU